AAAUCUCACAAGACACAAACUGUUCAAGGGAAGAAUUAGGAACAAAGACAACUUGGGGACUGGAGAGAACUUGGAGAGCAUUUAGAGAAAAGCGGGGAAAUGAUUGAUGGGUUGGAAAAUAGGAGCAUGGAUGAAUGGUGAGGGGAAUGGAGAUGAUUUAACUGGGACAGAGAGGCUGACAGGUGACCUAGUAAUAGGCUUCCAGUUUGUGGAGGGUUAGGACAUGGAGACUGGCUUCCCACUACCAGGGAAGAAAAGACACUUAAAGUGGGAGGUAGGGGAGCCUGAGGCUACAGGAAGAACUCCUUAUCACAGGGUCUGUUAAUUAUAGCAAGGCAGGAUGGAUCACAAGCUCUUCCACCAAGCAGUCUUCCCAGACGAGAGCAGCACUGGGACGGUGGUAGGGAUUUCUGUAAGUCAUCCAGUGCACAGCUUCCCGAUCGCUUGUCCUCAGAUAGUAGCGAGAUGGCUGCCUCAGCAUCUCCAGGGACACGUAGUAAAAAAUACAAUUUCGUGGGCCCUAUCCAGACCUCCUGGUUUAGAGUUUCUGGGAGGAAAGUCCAGGUGUCUGUAUUCUUAAAACACACACAAACACACCCCACCCCCCCCCACCCCCCCACCCCACACACACACACACACACCCCACCCCACCAGGACAAAUGCAGAACUAACUCAUUGAGAACCAAGAGGCUGGUGAUGUGAGGAAAGAGGAAAUGCCUCCCCCGGAUUCCUCAGGUUGCUGCCUGCAGCAUCCCGCUAGAUCUUCCACUGCCCGGGAGCUGCUCAGGAGCCCAGGCCACACCUGCCCUGGUGGCUCCGUCCAGCAUCCCUGCUGGGUCACUUGGAAUGGACGCUGGGGCAUCAAAGCUGCCCUACAGCUCUGAAGAACCCCUGCGUCUCUCCCUAAUGACAAGGGUGCUGGGAAAAAUGCUCAUUCCAUGUUUUUAUCUGGACUUCACCAGCAGUCACUGAAGUCUUAGGUCACAGUUCUGUGGAGUUUUCCAACGGGUCCCUCAGACACCACCGCUGCCCCACAGGGGCUAGAAUGGAAUGAGCUUGGGAGUCAAGAGAUGUAUCUGCCUUGAGCUUGAGCAGGUCAUUUUACCUCUCCCCGUUGCAGUUUCUUUCUCUGGAAAAGGAGACACCCGGACUGGACAGUCUCUGAGGUCCAUCCAGCUCUACCUUUCUGUCUCUACUGGCUGUUUGAAGAAUUGCAAUGCUCGAAGAGUAUAAAGUAGAUUCAGUGUAAUAUUUCGUAGUGAAGUAUUUUAAAUUCAAUGUUUUUUUUUUCUUUGCAUAACUUAUCCUAGGGAAGUUGGGAAGGAUGAGGAAAAAUAUACGAAUCCACUCGUCUCCAGCUAGCUCAGCUUGUGUGUAGGCCUGCCGUUCACCACACACGACCAUGCGCAAGCUCUCUGGUCCCUUGGUGGCAGCAUACCAAACUACAGAUUCUGUUCUUUGGCCUCAGAACAGUCUUGUGUAUGUUUUAAAUGUGUAGCUUGGAAUCAACGAGUAUUUUUCAUGGGGAGACUAGGAAGGUUGGGGGGCUGGGAUCAUUAUUUCACACACUUAUUUGCUUGUUUCUUGCUGAAUUCCAGAUUGCGGUGGUACUUUAAAAAAAAAAAAAGCUCCAAUAUCAAUUUUAAUUUUGCUUCUAACCUUUUGGACCAGCCACACCCUGACACUUAAAAAAUAAUAAUGAAAUGUUAGUAUAAGAAAAAUUGCUAGCUGACUAUCCCAGCCUUCCUCCUUAGUAACUAAACCUGAUUUGGGGCACAUUGCUACCUAGACUGUAAUAGACUUUCCAGUGUCCUGCAUGGCCAGCUGGACCAUAAUCCUCCUGAAAGCAGAGCCCCGUUCUGAUCGUUCCUUUAGUGUGGAAGGCACAGUAGGCACUCAGUGUUUUGAUGGAGAAAGCUGAGUUUUACAGUUAAGAAUAUUUUUUUCUGCGAGGGCUCAGAUCAGGCCUACAGCCCUCUCUCUCCUGUGGCUGCAGACUGUAAUGAGGGAGAAUGGAAAGAGAGCAGGGAGGGAUGGCUCAGCCCCAGGUGCACACAUGGCCCAGCCCAGAUUCUAGGCCCAGCGGGCAUCAGGACAGCUGUGCCAGGCAGACACAGGAGAGCCUUCCUCUGACCCAGGUCUACUAGGUUUAGAUCAAAAGAAUACCGAAGAUAGUGUUGAUUUUAUUAAGGCACUGAGGGGCAUCUAUCAUGAUUUCUUUUGAAAAAUAUGGAGAAAUAUGUUAAUAAUUGUUAGGCCAACACUGGCCCAAAAAUGCAGAUUAACAGAUUGAUCUCACCUGCUGCACAGCCGGUUCCUAACAGGUCAUGGACCGGUACCGGUCCGCCAUUGUGGGGACUGGGGACUCCUGCUCUAUGAAACAAAAAAUGAGAAAGUAAACACACAGAUAUCCAGAAGCAUAAAACAAAAUGACAGAAGUAGGGUUGAACGUUUAACUAUGCUAAAAUAUAGUCCUCAUAAACUACAACUGGAUGAUGCCCCCUGAGUACCUGUGCUUGAGGAGGGGGGCAAAUAGCACCGAGAUGGUGUCUUACCCACCUUUGUAUCCCCAGCAUGUGGCACAGAGCCCUCACUCAUUAGGUUCUCAGCAAAGAUGAGUGGGUGUUCGGAUGGAUGCACAGCUUAGGCGGACAGGUGGACGAAUAAAUGUGCAAGGAAGGUUCUGGGAGCUGCUGGCGGCAAACUUUGCUUGCUUCCCAAGGAUUGUCCUACCUUUCUGUAAUAGGCUAGGGGGCUGUGAGCUGCAGUAUAUUUCUGCUCACAGGAGCCCUUUCCCUUGGGGAGCUAUGUGGAGGGCAAGACCACCCCAAGAACCCCAACAUGAAACCUUAACUGGGAUUCUGCUGCUCUAGGCUAAGCAAUCCUACAUUCUUGACUAGAAGAGUGUGUCUUAGGCAUACAUUGCUGCACAGAAAACCCCCCACCUCCUCCCUGCUUCACAGAGAUGGGGUGAAAGAUGGUGGUGCCCUAAGAAUGCAGAACCCCUGCGCCACACAAAGCAUGCUCGCUACGCCCACUAGCUGGCCAGGAAUGAAUUUUAGAAGAAGCCUCCUGUCACCAGCCUUUCGGAGUCCCCACUGAUACUGGUGUGUGUGCUCCUGCUGUGGUGCUGCCCACCCACCCUCGUUCUUCCAACCCUCCGGCACCGAAUCCCUCCUUUCACUCCCUCUGUCCCCUGGGCAAGUUCCAGCUGGUUACAGUGAAUUCCCGUAUUUCCCUCCUCUCUUACUUCUCAUUUGUCAGAGUGCACAGGAGGCUGCCUGGAAUGCCCUCUACUCCCAGGCUGAGGAAAUUAAAGUAGCUAAAUUUUUAUUAUAGCAUCUCUCAAGAAUAUUUCUAGAAAUCAUAGAGUCGUUGCACCUUACUACUGAAUAGAAGUUGAGGGGUUAUUUGACCCAUUCCCUUUAAUUCUAGGCAGCUUGAUUUCCAAACUCUUUGUAGGUACGUCUUCUUUAAGAUUUCUAUAUAAAAGGUCCCCCAAGCCCAGCCCUUAUGACUAGGGCGACCAUGUAAUUUUGCAUUCAAACAGAGAUGCCAAAGGGGGCCCUGACCAAACAGGACUUGGGAACCCAGUUUUGGUAAGUAAUAGCUUUAUGGACGAAGUGCUUUGGGAAAAAAGCAGAAGAGGGAUGAGUUUGGAGGGGUUCGAGAAUCAGAGGAGGUGACAGGAGAGCUGGGCUUUGAAGAUGAUCAGGAUUUCUUGGGGAAUAGGGCUGCAGGAGAGGGAAUGUGUGCCAAGAGUGUGGAACGAAGGCACGGUGGGUAAAAGAGAGAGCAAGAGCUAAAGCUGAGAACUGGACAGGGCCCUGACAGGACCCAUUCACCUUCUGGAGGCAUCAUUCAUUCUGUGCAUUUGUGAUCUCUUUUUGCGUGAGUGCAAGGUCUGAAGUGGCCUGUGGCAUGCUGGAGCUUAGUAGACACAUCUGGUGAAGGUGUGGAGAAGGCCAGAGUAGGAAACCACUAGAAGUGGAGAGGUCACCUCAGAGACUCUCCACACAGCAGUGGUGGUGUGUUGCUUCUGAACCAAGGCAGGGUCAGAGAGGACAGAGGAAGAGGCAACCCUAAGAGAGCAUUUGGCAGCUGAGACGAUAGGACGCAGUGACUGACGUGGAAGGUGAGGAACGCAAAAAUGCCAAGAUCACACAAGCCUGCUUCAGAAGACCAAGAAGAUGGGGUUUCCCUUCAUUGAGACAGGGAGCAGGAGAGCAGCUAAGUCUGACGUCACCAAAGGCCAUUUGGGGCAUGUUUGGGUGUUUGUGGUGCAUCCACACGGACACGUCCAUUAGGAGUUUGUAUCUAUGGGUCUGGGGCUCGAGGGACAGAUUCAUGUCAGAAAUACUGACUCCUCGGUGCACUGAUAGAAGAUGUGAUUGUAGAUGAGAUGACUCAGAGAGCAAGUGUGGAGCGAGAGGACUUGGGAACCCAGGGUUGAUUUUUGGGCAACGUCUAACCCCAAAGAAAG
rnacentral:lncRNA from 1 species